rnacentral:lncRNA from 1 species
UACAAAAUUCCCCUUAAAGCCUGUCAUUUCAGAUCUGAUUUGGUUACAGAUUGGUGCAUAUAGGGUUGAAAAAGCAUCACGAAAGCAGAUCCUCAUUCUGUCUGUUGCUCUGACCUCUUAGAACCAGACGUUCCUCCUGACACUCCUCUGGGUCACAGAUGAUAGAGAAAUCCGCCAUUCGCACAGGUCCCUAAGGAGAAUCCAGGAAUCAGAGGUAUUGUGUGGUGUGCUGGGGAAGAGUAGAUGGGGUCCUGUCAUGCUCAUUCACACCAGUCGCCAGACAGACAGAAGCUCUGCC